rnacentral:lncRNA from 1 species
GUUUUAAGUUUACAGCGGAAUGGAGUGGAAACUACAAAGUGAUCCUGUGAAGGCCGCCGCCUCCCGCAAGUCCCAGGGCCCUCAUCACCAACGUCCGCACCAGAGCAGCCCGAUUGUCAUCGCCGUGGACCUGCACGGACACAUGGGGGCCACAGGCGGCCUCGAGGUGCGCAGUGAUCCACUCGCUCUACGGCUUUGGAUGAUCACCCAGCACGAUAGCAUCGAACUGCCGUAAAGAUCCUCCUGUCGUGCUUAGCCUGAGACAAAGUGGCUGUGUGGCUGGGCAUCGCCACCAACGCUGGAAGCUGUGCAGCUCCCGCACACCCUGCAAACACUGGAGACGUACCAAGAAUCGAACUCAGGACCUUGAGCUUGCAAGGCAGGUGCAGUGCCAC